rnacentral:rRNA from 1 species
UACGGAGGGUGCAAGCGUUAUCCGGAUUCACUGGGUUUAAAGGGUGCGUAGGCGGGCAGUUAAGUCCGUGGUGAAAUCUCUGAGCUUAACUCAGAAACUGCCAUGGAUACUAUCUGUCUUGAAUAUUGUGGAGGUAAGCGGAAUAUGUCAUGUAGCGGUGAAAUGCUUAGAUAUGAACAUAGAACACCAAUUGCGAAGGCAGCUUGCUACACAGUUAUUGACGCUGAGGCACGAAAGCGUGGGGGAUCAAACAGG